AGUGGGGAAUAUUGCACAAUGGGCGCAAGCCUGAUGCAGCCAUGCCGCGUGUAUGAAGAAGGCCUUCGGGUUGUAAAGUACUUUCAGCAGUGAGGAAGGGUAUGUAGUUAAUAACUGCAUAUCUUGACGUUAGCUGCAGAAGAAGCACCGGCUAACUCCGUGCCAGCAGCCGCGGUAAUACGGAGGGUGCGAGCGUUAAUCGGAAUUACUGGGCGUAAAGCGCAUGCAGGUGGUUUGUUAAGUCAGAUGUGAAAGCCCGGGGCUCAACCUCGGAAUUGCAUUUGAAACUGGCAGGCUAGAGUACUGUAGAGGGGGGUAGAAUUUCAGGUGUAGCGGUGAAAUGCGUAGAGAUCUGAAGGAAUACCAGUGGCGAAGGCGGCCCCCUGGACAGAUACUGACACUCAGAUGCGAAAGCGUGGGGAGCAAA
rnacentral:rRNA from 1 species